CUAAAACAACACCCCUUUGUCAAUGAGUCCAGGCAUUGAGUGAUGGCCUCAGUAUUUAUCAUCCACUGGUCCUGGUCAGAAUCCACCGAUUCUAAGGCUGAAAUCAAGGUGUCAGCCAAACAGAGUUCUCAUUGGAUGCUCUCAGGCCUCCACCUGUCACCUGGUCUUUAAGCAUAUGCCAUGUAACUAUUGUGUGAUGAUAGAAUCUUACUUCUGGGUACCAAUUUCUGCUUCAGUUAUCUGUUGCUGUAUAAGAAGACCUUAAAAUCUAAUGGCUUAAAACACUAAAUGGCCUUUCCCUAUCUGCCUCAAACUUUGGCAACUGGGUUCCAAAACGGAGUACUCCAAGAAGAAGAGCCUUAAUGUGCAAGUGCUACUGAGCUUCUACUUGCAUUUUGCUUCUAACGUCUCACUGACCAAAGUUAAUCACAUCAGCCCAUCUCUGAGGAUCCUCUGAAUUGAGUUGGGAGAGACAGUUCCUCUUCUUGGAGUGCAUUUGGAAGAGGCAGCACCACCUGCCCUGGGACAAAAGAGCUGGCGGGCACCACUGAGCUACCCUAUUCCCCAACGACAAGCAGAGUCACCUGCUGAGGGCAGUUAACCUGUAUGCCAGCUCUUUGCUGCACUUCGUCAUAAACUCCAAGCCCCUGUGCAGCUGUGUGACUGCUUUUCUGGGACAAACUGGUAACAGCCACAACA